CAGUUGCAAACUCCCCUACAUAAAUAUAUAUGGGGAGGUACUAGAUCCAACACGGAUACAGAGUGAAAUCUGCUGGAACAUAAAACCGGCACUAGGAAACAGACUGAGAAACCAGAG